rnacentral:tRNA from 1 species
GUUUCCGUAGUGUAGUGGUUAUCACGUUCGCCUCACACGCGAGAAGUCCCCGGUUCAAAACCGACCGGAAACA